rnacentral:misc_RNA from 1 species
UACCCUUGACAUGUCAGGAACUCUGCAGAAAUGCAGAGGUGCCCGAAAGGGAACCUGAACACAGGUGCUGCAUGGCUGUCGUCAGCUCGUGUCGUGAGAUGUUGGGUUAAGUCCCGCAACGAGCGCAACCCUUGUCAUUAGUUGCUACAUUCAGUUGAGCACUCUAAUGAGACUGCCGGUGACAAACCGGAGGAAGGUGGGGAUGACGUCGUAUCUCACUG